UCUCUGAGCGCCGCCAACAUGGUGUUCAGGCGUUAUGUGGAGGUAGGCCGGGUGGCCUACGUUUCCUUUGGGCCCCAUGCUGGAAAGCUGGUCGCAAUUGUAGAUGUCAUUGAUCAGAACAGGGCCUUAGUGGAUGGACCCUGCACUCGGGUGAGGAGGCAGGCCAUGCCUUUCAAAUGCAUGCAGCUCACUGACUUCAUCCUCAAGUUCCCCGCACAGUGCCCGCCAGAAGCAUGUACGGAAGGCGUGGGAGAAGGCAGAUAUCAAUACGAAAUGGGCAGCCACAAGAUGGGCCAAGAAAAUUGAUGCCCGAGAAAGGAAAGCCAAGAUGACAGAUUUUGAUCAUUUCAAAGUCAUGAAGGCAAAGAAAAUGAGGAACAGAAUAAUCAAGACUGAAGUAAAGAAACUUCAAAGAGCUGCUAUCCUGAAAGCUUCUCCCAAAAAGGCAGCUGUUCCUAAAGCUGCCAUUGCUGUGGCGGUGGAAGCAGCUGCUAAAGCUAAAGUCCCAGCCAAGAAGGCUACAGGACCAGGCAAGAAGGCUCCUGCACAAAAGGCUGCAGGUCAGAUACUGAAGACAAAAACAAAGACAAAAAAUCCCCUGCCAGAUGUGAUUGACUUCACCGAGGUCCAGAGUGACUGCACUACCCAUACUGCCGCCGCCACCGCAGUCAGGGAGGAUCACCUUGGUCCCAGUGGCAUCGGCGGGCUCCUUCUGAUGUCACAGACACCGCAACACAAUCCUAUCACCCGCCACAGACCGGGGAGAUGA